UACGUAGGGUGCAAGCGUUGUCCGGAAUUAUUGGGCGUAAAGAGCUCGUAGGCGGUCUGUCGCGUCGGCUGUGAAAACUCGGGGCUCAACUCCGAGCUUGCAGUCGAUACGGGCAGGCUAGAGUUCGGCAGGGGAGACUGGAAUUCCUGGUGUAGCGGUGAAAUGCGCAGAUAUGCGGAGGAACACCGAUGGCGAAGGCAAUCCCCUGGGCCUGCACUGACGCUCAUGCACGAAAGCGUGGGGAGCGAACAGG
rnacentral:rRNA from 1 species